CCCCUCCCUUCUUCUCCCUCUCCCCUACCUCACCCUCUCCUCCCAUGGUGCCCUUGGAAGGAGGCCACACAGUCGCCGGGAUGCAGGUCACCUCACAGCUAGCUCAGGGUCUCCUCCCUCUCCCUCUCCAUCUCCUCUACAUCUCCCUCCUCCCUGCAGGUGGCAGUGCGGGUCCACGGUGCCGCACGACCAUGCGGCACGACGAGGGCAUUCGGGGUGGAGCUCGAUCUAGCGAGGAGUCGCUCGAUUGAGUGAUGAGAAGGACAGAUCCAGUGAGGUAGGGCUUGAUCUGGCGAGGAGAUGCCCGCAUCUGGCUCGGUGAAGCUCGAUCUGGUGUGCUCGUGCAGCAGCGGUGCUUGAUGUCGAUGUAGAUUUGGCCAAUGAACAAUGAUGCUUGGAUGGGCUCGGUGGGCUCCUCAAUGGGCUACGCGAGCCUAUCGAUGGAUUUUCUUUUUUUUCUUUUUUUAUUUGAUUAACCAAAGUGGGCAGCAAACCACCUCGGAAAAGGUCAUAUUAACCGUGACCUUUGAUCCGAGGCGGUUGCAAAAACUGCCUCGGUAGCCUUUUUGCCCGCCUCGGUUAAAAAUAAUGUACUAGUGUUUAUAGAGGUUUUAGCCUUCAUGUCUACAUACAAAUGACCAUUUUACCCCUAUAUUUAAUCAGUACAACCCCGUUAAACAAAAGGCGCAAAGUAGUCUUUUUCACUCUUGUAUGAUUCACUCUUCAACAUAUACUUGCCAAUAUUUUGGAAGACGUCAUCUUCACACUUUAGCAAUUCUUGUUUUAUCUUCUUCUGACUUUGCCUACCAAUCGAAGUCAAAAUUUUGUCUCACUUCCAACUUGCUCUAAUCUUCUCUUCAUCUGCAGCAAAGUUAAAUCUACUCGAGUGAAGUCAAAACAUCAUCUUCAUUUUUUGCUUUCCAAUACUCCAAAGUUCUGGUGCUGAGUUUUUCUAAUGAAGUCAAAUCCCCAACAAUGCUAUGACUGUAGGGCCACCCCUUGGCUUUCAUCAGCAAAGGCAUAAAAUUAGUCCUUGCAAUCAAGGGUUGUCUAUCGAAAAGGAGGAGUAUCUCGUGAUAAUGAUGGUAGUAGAUCAGUGGCAUCACUACCUCAUUCAGUUCUUGAAACAUAAAUUGCAUUGGCCUCAUUAAAAAAGAAAAUUAAAACAAAUGAUGAUCAUUGAACCAUGGAAUGGAAUAUGGAUAAGUCCAGCCACACAUGGCUCUCCG
rnacentral:lncRNA from 1 species